UAGCGAGGUGGGGACCGGGCUCUCCUCCCAAGCACCAAGUGGUAAAAUGAGGGGAAAUGGCCUCAAAUUGCACCAGUGGAGGCUUAAGUUGGAUAUUAGGAGAAAUUUCUUUACUGAAGGGGUUGUGCAACAUUGAAACAGGCUGCCCAGGGAAGUCGUUGAGUCACCAUGCCUGGAGAUCUUCCAGAAACGUGUAGAUGUAGAACUUAGUACCAUGGUUUAGUGGUGGACUUGUCAGUACUAGGUUAAAGGUUCGACUAUAUGAUCUUAGAAGUCCUUUUCAACCUGAACAAUUCUAUGAUUCUGUGAUCCUAAGAUUCUUUGACCUUGAAGGAGCACCUGCCAUGCUGGGUAGCAUCACCUCUGUUCAUAGGGUACACAUGCAACUGAUCUCCAGUUUCAUCCUUUCACGGGUCCCACAAAGAGGAUGAAUGUGCCAGUAAGCAGCGCAUGGAGAGCUGCUAGGGCACAUUUGGCUCUGGCAUCUCUUCUCUUCAGCAGUCAAGAGGCCUUAGAUGUAGCAGUGAAAGAACUUGAAAACCACCUUUUCCUUUUUUUUUUUUUUUUUUUUUUUUUUUUUUUAACCUUUUCAAAUAACUGAGUUCACAAGAUAGCAGAAAGAGUGACUCUUCAUUUCAUUUCUGCAGGUUGAUGGUCUUGUCUCUGUUUGAUAGGUCUUGGCCAUGAAUGGCCAUGGACAAACCACUUCAUCCAAGAGUUUAGUGGAAAAGUAGAGAAAUUGUUUAGAACAAUCUAAAGGAAGUUUAUUUGUUCUCAGACAGAUAUAAAAUCUUUGUAGAGGAGGUAGCAAGUGUUGCAGUUUAUGUUCUUUCAGGAAGAAAGACCUUUUUCUUCCCCAGAAAUAGAGGAACAACCACAUUCGCAGACAGGUCUGGGGACAAAGGGAAACCCUUGGAAGAACACCUGGAGCUUAAGCAGCCUGGUCUGGUGUUGGUGGGGAUGUUGGAGGCCAUUGGAGCCCUACCUUGCUGCCAUGCUUGGUCCCAGCUCCCCGUCCCUCAGGCCACAGAUGGCUGUGUCUCCCUGGCAUGACCCCACCGAGAGAAGAGGCAAGUAUCAGGACAACAGCAAAUCUUCUCUCUUGAAAAACAGCAGGCACUGGAGGUGAGUGGCAGCACACAAAUGGCUGUUCUAGAAACUUCUGCCCAGGAGAUGUGAUCACUGAAGCCCAGAGGUUGGCCCUCCAGGCUUCGGCAUGUGCUGUUCACACAGGCUGCAGCAGCGUCGGAAAUGUGGCUGGGAGGAACAAGACCUGACCCAUAACUGCAGGAAGUUAUAAAUAACUGCUAGUUAUUUACAUCUGAAAUAAUCACACUGGUUUUGUUUCCUCACCUGCUUCAGAUGCUGAUUUGACUCCCCAAUGUUAGAUACCAAGGAUGAAUCACCAAGAGGUACCAGCUUCUCUGUACUGACUUGUAAAAGAGUUCUUAAGCAACAAGCCAAGUUGGAGGGCUAACCUUGGGUUGCCUAGAUUGGGCUGCCUAGGCUGUCUCACUCCUGAUUUUGAAACCAGGUGUGGAUCUGCUAUGGCAAUUCAAAACAAAAAUUAAAAAUCAACACCAGUCUUAAGAUAAGGAAAAAUGGGACCGAAACCUGUUGCCCCUGAACUUUGGAAGAAAUUUCUUUCAGCUCUCCAGUGCAUGGGGUGGUUACCACAUCCUGUUUUUACUAAAGUCUCUUUAAAAAAGUCAUGAGUGAUGAUAGAGAUAGAAGAGGAAGAGUCUCAAACUGUUAAAAUGUCCUUGGCUGUCUUUCUGCUACCUGGGUAGAUUUUGCCACGCAGAGUGCUGCUGAUCCUUGAGUGAUUCAGGUGCCCAAACAAGUUUAUUUAAAGCCAGCUUGGGAGCUUGGGUAUUUCUACACUACUCUGGACUUUGGAGAACAGAUAACCCUGAACAUGCAACCGGGCAAGGUGGAGAGGAGUCACACUAUGGUUUAUGGCCUAUACCUUUGCUAUUUUUGGAGGCUGGCUUGAUACAUGCAAGCUAAAAUCCCCAACUGACACCUCUCUGAACCCCUGAGGCUAAGGGCUGAUUAGCUAACUUGCAGGAUUUCUUUACAGAGAAAUACAUUUUCCAUUUGUAUAACUGUGGUCUAAGAAGUUGUUUUAAAGUUAACUUGCACAGAUGCGUCUUUUAAUGUGUUUUCUUUUCCAGUAUGACAGUUCUGGGGAGGUGGAGGGUUAUAAGACAUGACAAAUGCCUACUAUUUGCAAAUUCCAGAAAAAGCAAAAGGCACUAUUUUACUAUUUAAUAGACUUGGCAAGUACCUGGGUACAAAUAUCAGGAAUGUGCUCAAAUAUACAUGCCCAGCAUUUCCAGAAAAAAAAUAAAAAUGGUUUUCUCAAAUGAAAGGUGCA
rnacentral:lncRNA from 1 species